rnacentral:rRNA from 1 species
GACGAACGCUGGCGGCGUGCUUAACACAUGCAAGUCGAACGAAGUGGCGAACGGGUGAGUAACGCGUAAUAAACCUGCCCUUCAGAGGGGGACAACAGUUGGAAACGACUGCUAAUACCGCAUACUGAAGGAGGGGAUUGCGACUGAUUAGCUAGUUGGAGGGGUAACGUCCCACCACGGCGAUGAUCAGUAGCCGUUAUGAGAGGGUUAACGUGCACAUUGGGACUGAUACACGGCCCAGAUUCCUACGGGAGGGAGCAGUGGGGAAUCUUUCGCAAGGGACGAAAGUCUGACGAGGCAACGCCGCCUGAGUGAUGACGGCCCUCGGGUUGUAAAGCUCUGUUAAUCGGGACGCGGUACCGGAAUAGAAAGCCAUGGCUAACUACGUGCCAGCGGCCGCGGUAAUAC